UACGGAGGGUGCAAGCGUUGUCCGGAUUUAUUGGGUUUAAAGGGUGCGUAGGCGGGCCCUUAAGUCAGUGGUGAAAGCUCCGAGCUUAACUCGGAAACUGCCAUUGAUACUAUAGGUCUUGAAUUCGGUCGAGGUUGGCGGAAUGUGUCGUGUAGCGGUGAAUGCUUAGAUAUGACACAGAACACCGAUUGCGAAGGCAGCUAGCUAGACCGACAUUGACGCGAGGCACGAAAGCGUGGGGAUCAAACAGG
rnacentral:rRNA from 1 species